UACGUAGGGGGCUAGCGUUGUCCGGAAUCAUUGGGCGUAAAGAGCGCGUAGGCGGCCAGAUAAGUCCGGUGUGAAAGUCAAAGGCUCAACCUUUGAAUGCCGCUGGAAACUGUCUGGCUAGAGUCCGGGGAGGGGCGAGUGGAAUUCCUGGUGUAGCGGUGAAAUGCGCAGAUAUCAGGAGGAACACCAAUGGCGAAGGCAGCUCGCUGAAACGGUACUGACGCUGGAGGCGCGGAAAGCGUGGGGAGCGAACGGG
rnacentral:rRNA from 1 species